UACAGAGGGUGCGAGCGUUGUCCGGAAUCACUGGGCGUAAAGGGCGCGUAGGCGGCCUGAUAAGUAGGGGGUGAAAUCCUGUGGCUCAACUGCAGGGCUGCCUCCUAGACUGUCGGGCUUGAGCACGGUAGAGGCAGAUGGAAUUCCCGGUGUAGCGGUGGAAUGCGUAGAGAUCGGGAAGAACAUCGGUGGCGAAGGCGACACGCUGGGCCGUACCUGACACUGAUGCGCGACAGCAUGGGGAGCAAACAGG
rnacentral:rRNA from 1 species